AUACAGAGGGUGCAAGCGUUAAUCGGAUUUACUGGGCGUAAAGCGCGCGUAGGCGGCUAAUUAAGUCAAAUGUGAAAUCCCCGAGCUUAACUUGGGAAUUGCAUUCGAUACUGGUUAGCUAGAGUGUGGGAGAGGAUGGUAGAAUUCCAGGUGUAGCGGUGAAAUGCGUAGAGAUCUGGAGGAAUACCGAUGGCGAAGGCAGCCAUCUGGCCUAACACUGACGCUGAGGUGCGAAAGCAUGGGGAGCAAACAGGAUUAGAAACCCUUGUAGUCC
rnacentral:rRNA from 1 species